rnacentral:rRNA from 1 species
GACGAACGCUGGCGGCGUGCUUAACACAUGCAAGUCGUACGGUAAGGCCCUUUCGGGGGUACCCGAGUGGCGAACGGGUGAGUAACACGUGAGUAACCUGCCCACAACUUUGGGAUAACGCUAGGAAACUGGUGCUAAUACUGGAUAUGUGCUCCUGCUGCAUGGUGGGGGUUGGAAAGCUCCGGCGGUUGUGGAUGGACUCGCGGCCUAUCGGCUUGUUGGUGGGGUAGUGGCCUACCAAGGCGGCGACGGGUAGCCGGCCUGUGAGAGUGACCGGCCACACAGGGACUUAGGGACGGCCCAGACGCCGACGGGAGGCAGCAGGGGGGAAGAUUGCACAAUGGGCGCAAGCCGGAUGCAGCAACGCCGCGGGCGGGAUGACGGCCUUCGGGGUGUAAACCGCUUUCAGCAGGAACGAAGCUUUUUGUGACGGUACCUACAGAAGAAGCACCGGCUAACUACGUG